rnacentral:rRNA from 1 species
CCCGAAGGGGACGACCAGUAUCCAAUCUGGAGCUAACACAGGUGCUGCAUGGCUGUCGUCAGCUCGUGCCGUGAGGUGUAUGGUUAAGUCCCACAACGAGCGCAACCCUCGUCGCUAGUUAAUUUCCCUAGCGAGACCGCCUCGCAAAACGAGGAGGAAGCGGGGAUGGCGUCAAGUCAGCAUGGCCUUUAUACCCUGGGCGACACACACGCUACAAUGGGUGGUACAGUAGGUAGCGAAGGAGCGAUCCGGAGCAAAUCCUUAAAACCAUCCUCAGUACGGAUUGCAGGCUGAAACCCGCCUGCAUGAAGCCGGAGUUGCUAGUAACCGCAUAUCAGCAUGGUGCGGUGAAUACGUUCUCGGGCCUU